GAUUAACGCUGGCGGCGUGCAUAACACAUGCAAGUCGAACGAUGAAACUUUACUGACUUCUUCGGAAUGAUUUAAAGCGGAUUAGUGGCGAACGGGUGAGUAACGCGUGAGUAACCUGCCUUACACAAGGGGAUAGCCCCUGGAAACGGAGAAUAAUACCCUAUGAAACCAGACAAUCGCAUGAUAAUCUGGUCAAAAUGUUUAGUGGUGUAAGAUGGACUUGCGUCUGAUUAGCUAGUUGGUGAGAUAAAAGCUCACCAAGGCAACGAUCAGUAGCCGGCUUGAGAGAGUGUACGGCCACAUUGGGACUGAGACACGGCCCAGACUCCUACGGGAGGCAGCAGUGGGGAAUUUUGCACAAUGGGGGAAACCCUGAUGCAGCGACGCCGCGUGAUUUAGAAGGCCUUCGGGUUGUAAAAAUCUUUUGUAUAGGAAGAAAAUGACAGUACUAUACGAAUAAGGUCCGGCUAAUUACGUG
rnacentral:rRNA from 1 species